AUUGAACGCUGGCGGCAUGCCUUACACAUGCAAGUCGAACGGCAGCACGGGUGCUUGCCCCUGGUGGCGAGUGGCGAACGGGUGAGUAAUACAUCGGAACAUGUCCUGUAGUGGGGGAUAGCCCGGCGAAAGCCGGAUUAAUACCGCAUACGAUCUACGGAUGAAGGCGGGGGACCUUCGGGCCUCGCGCUAUAGGGUUGGCCGAUGGCUGAUUAGCUAGUUGGUGGGGUAAAGGCCUACCAAGGCGACGAUCAGUAGCUGGUCUGAGAGGACGACCAGCCACACUGGGACUGAGACACGGCCCAGACUCCUACGGGAGGCAGCAGUGGGGAAUUUUGGACAAUGGGCGAAAGCCUGAUCCAGCAAUGCCGCGUGUGUGAAGAAGGCCUUCGGGUUGUAAAGCACUUUUGUCCGGAAAGAAAUCCUUGGCCCUAAUACGGUCGGGGGAUGACGGUACCGGAAGAAUAAGCACCGGCUAACUACGUG
rnacentral:rRNA from 1 species